ACCCUUCCUUAACUCCGCUCCCCUUCCUUCCUUCCCUCCACUUUCUCCCCUCCCCUACCUUCCUUCCCCCCUUCCCUCUUCCCUCCCCUUCCUCCCCUCCCUUUCCUUCCUUUCCUUUCCCUUCCUUCCCUCCACUUCCUUCCCUCCCCUUCCCUCUUCCCUCCCCUCGCCUUCCUCCCUCCCCUUUCUUCCUUCCCUCCCCUCCCCUUCCUACCCUCGCCUUCCCUCUUCCUUUCUCUUCCUUUCCUUCCCCUCCCCUCCCCUUCCCUUCCCUGCUCUCCCCGAUGUGCCUGCAUUCCCUACCUAACAGUACUGGGCUCUGAGAACCAGAACUAGCCCACUGUGUUCAUCCUUUGAAGGAAGAUUCUCAGCCGAAACCAGAUCCCAGUUUCCCGUGGGCUUUGACGAGUCCUUGCCAAACACUGUGAGUGCUGCCGUUCCUCUUUCUGAAUCAGAGAUGGGAGUCUCACCAUAUUGCCUAGCUGGCCUCGAACUCCUGUGGUAAAGUGAUCCUCCCACCUCUGUCUCCCAAAAUGUUGGGAUUACAGUUGUGAGCCACCAUGCCUGGCCCUGUGAACCCAGUGUUUUAGACUUUCUGCCAUGGUAUUUGGCUUGACCUUGAGCUCCUUGUUCUGGUGCUCCAGCUGCUUCUCGUUCUUCUGGGCGUGGCUGCACUCCAGGUUCAGGGGAGACCACGUGGACAGAGCCGCUCACUGCUGCCCCGGCCCUGUUCUGGGUGAGCCAGGGCCCGGAGUCAGCUCCGGAGCCUGCAGGCAAGAGACAGCUGCACCCUGGACGCACUGACACCCAGCAUGUCACACUGCAGGAACACUUCAGGACUGGCUCAGGCUGCUUCUCGGAACCAUCACACCAGAGCCCAGAAGGCUGGAGCGUCAGGACGCGGUUGAUGCUGGAGUCUGCACUAGGUGAGGCCUUCUGAACUCCCCGAUGCCUGGGCCUGCACUUGCCUGUUUGCUUCUGUGUUUCCACUCACCUCUGAGCCUGUAUCUCCAUCAGUGAGAUGGGGCUGGAAGCACCCAGGACCUCCCCAAGAGGCGCCACCCUAUCAGGUUCCCACCCCAGCACCCUCGCAUGUAGCUGGCUCAGCUGGGUGCCGCCUGCCCUCACCCACAGCUUCCGCAGCUGCUUGAUGGCUUCAUCCCGGUUCUGGUUGGCUGAGUCGAUGUGCGCCUCCAGGUCCAUCUCCAGCUUCUUCCGGGAAGCCACUGCCAUGGAGUGCCGCUUCCUCUCGUCCUCCAGCUCUGCCUCCAUCUCCCACACCUGGAGGAAGGAACACCGACAGCUUGGAAAGCUGGACCCACUCAGAGAUCCUGCUCCAGCUCUGAACCCAGGUGCCUCAGUCCAGUUCUGCAGGAUCCGCCAGCCCUCCAGGGGCCAAUGGGGAUUACUGACCCUAAGAACUCUAAGAAAAUGAGUGGCUGACUCCUAGGACAGGGGACUGGACAGGGAAGGGGAGGCAUGGUCCAGGGCCCUAACACAAUCCAGGUGGAAGGAGAAAAUGAAAGCCUGUAUGAAGCCAGGGCAGCCCUGGCCCCCACGGGGUAGCAGGAGCCCAUGCACACCU